rnacentral:rRNA from 1 species
GAUGAACGCUGGCGGCGUGCCUAAUACAUGCAAGUCGAGCGAACAGACGAGGAGCUUGCUCCUCUGACGUUAGCGGCGGACGGGUGAGUAACACGUGGAUAACCUACCUAUAAGACUGGGAUAACUUCGGGAAACCGGAGCUAAUACCGGAUAACAUGUUGAACCGCAUGGUUCAACAGUGAAAGACGGUCUUGCUGUCACUUAUAGAUGGAUCCGCGCCGCAUUAGCUAGUUGGUAAGGUAACGGCUUACCAAGGCAACGAUGCGUAGCCGACCUGAGAGGGUGAUCGGCCACACUGGAACUGAGACACGGUCCAGACUCCUACGGGAGGCAGCAGUAGGGAAUCUUCCGCAAUGGGCGAAAGCCUGACGGAGCAACGCCGCGUGAGUGAAGAAGGUCUUCGUAUCGUAAAACUCUGUUAUUAGGGAAGAACAAAUGUGUAAGUAACUAUGCACGUCCUGACGGUACCUAAUCAGAAAGCCACGGCUAACUACGUG